rnacentral:lncRNA from 1 species
GAGUCCCCCAGUUGUAAACCUGGGGCCCCGGAUACAUGACCCCAGCCGUAAACCUUAAGCCCCGGAUGUGACUAUACCUAGUCACCCUGGGCCGUAAACCCAGCCAUAAACCCUGGGCCCCGGAUGUAAGUCCCCCAGCCAUAAACCUAGGGCCCCAGUUUAAUAAGCCCGCCGGUCGUAAACCUGGGGCCCCGGAUGUAUGACCCCAGCCAUAAAGCUGGGGUCCUGGGUGUAUAACCCCAGCCAUAAAGGUGGGGCCCGCGGUGUAAAUCCUUCCGACAUAAAGUGGGGGUCCAGCAGUAAAGACCACUGCGGUCCGGUCUCCAGUCGCUUAUGCCUGAAGACAGCAACCCGAAUCGGAGCUGUAACCCGGCGGCCUAUGCUGAGCUCUGGAGUAGAGUAGGCCUGCCAGGCCUGGGCAUCUCACGCCCUGGUGCCUCAGACCUGAUGCCUGGCGUCAGAGGACUGCGGCCACCACAGCAGAAGGCCACUCCUCGGGCCUCCGUCUCUCGACCCAGAGGGCUCCCACUGGACGCCGGCCCUCAGGCGCCUCUGUGGCAGGACAGCCGGCGAACAAUACUAAAUCACAUUUCAUGCAAAGAUGGGCUCAAUAAAGGACAGACAUGGUGUGAACCUAACAGAAG